AGGAAGUGGUGUAGCGGGAGCACUAAGAGUUUUGAUCUCUUCAGGAAGGGUUCGAACCCCUUUUUUCUAA
rnacentral:tRNA from 1 species